rnacentral:rRNA from 1 species
CCCUUAGAUGUCCUGGGCCGCACGCGCGCUACACCGAUGCAUUCAACGAGUCUAAAACCUGGUCUGAUAGGGCUGGGUAAUCUUUUGAAUGUGCAUCGUGAUUGGGAUAGAUGAUUGCAAUUCUUCAUCUUCAACGAGGAAUGCCUAGUAAACGCAAGUCAUCAGCUUGCAUUGAUUACGUCCCUGCCCUUUGUACACACCGCCCGUCGCUCCUACCGAUUGAAUGUUCCGAUGAAUACCAUGGACUGAGAGUAUGAAUGGGUUCGCCUAUUUCUGCUUCUCGGGAAGUGGAGUAAAUCUUAACAUUUAGAGGAAGGAGAAGUCGUAACA